rnacentral:rRNA from 1 species
GACGAACGCUGGCGGCGUGCUUAACACAAGCAAGUCGAGCGCCCCGCAAGGGGAGCGGCAGACGGGUGAGUAACGCGUGGGAACGUACCCUUUGCUACGGAAUAGCUCCGGGAAACUGAAAUUAAUACCGUAUGUGCCCUACGGGGGAAAGAUUUAUCGGCAAAGGAUCGGCCCGCGUUGGAUUAGCUAGUUGGUGGGGUAAUGGCCUACCAAGGCGACGAUCCAUAGCUGGUCUGAGAGGAUGAUCAGCCACAUUGGGACUGAGACACGGCCCAAACUCCUACGGGAGGCAGCAGUGGGGAAUAUUGGACAAUGGGCGCAAGCCUGAUCCAGCCAUGCCGCGUGAGUGAUGAAGGCCUUAGGGUUGUAAAGCUCUUUCACCGGAGAAGAUAAUGACGGUAUCCGGAGAAGAAGCCCCGGCUAACUUCGUGCCAGCCGCCGCAGUAAAAC